rnacentral:rRNA from 1 species
UACGUAGGGCGCGAGCGUUGUCCGGAUUUAUUGGGCGUAAAGAGCUCGUAGGCGGCUUGUCGCGUCGACCGUGAAAACUUGGGGCUCAACCCCAAGCCUGCGGUCGAUACGGGCAGGCUCGAGUUCGGUAGGGGAGACUGGAAUUCCUGGUGUAGCGGUGAAAUGCGCAGAUAUCAGAAGGAACACCGAUGGCGAAGGCAGGUCUCUGGGCCGAUACUGACGCUGAGGAGCGAAAGCGUGGGGAGCGAACAGG